GAUGAAGAACGUAGCGAAAUGCGAUAAGUAAUGUGAAUUGCAGAAUUCAGUGAAUCAUCGAAUCUUUGAACGCACAUUGCGCCCGCCAGUAUUCUGGCGGGCAUGCCUGUUCGAGCGUCAUUUCAACCAUCAAGCCCCCGGGCUUGUGUUGGGGACCUGCGGCUGCCGCAGGCCCUGAAAAGCAGUGGCGGGCUCGCUGUCACACCGAGCGUAGUAGAUUUUAUCUCGCUCUGGGCGUGCUGCGGGUUCCGGCUGUUAAACCACCCUUUUAACCCAAGGUUGACCUCGGAUCAGGUAGGAAGACCCGCUGAACUUAAGCAUAUCAAUAAGCGGAGGA
rnacentral:misc_RNA from 1 species